GAUGAACGCUGGCGGCGUGCUUAACACAUGCAAGUCGAGCGAUGAAGUUUACUUCGGGAAACGGAUUAGCGGCGGACGGGUGAGUAACACGUGGGUAACCUGCCUCAUAGAGUGGAAUAGCCUUUCGAAAGGAAGAUUAAUACCGCAUAAUGUUGAAAGAUGGCAUCAUCAUUCAACCAAAGGAGUAAUCCGUUAUGAGAUGGACCCGCGGCGCAUUAGCUAGUUGGUGGGGUAACGGCCUACCAAGGCGACGAUGCGUAGCCGAACUGAGAGGGUGAUCGACCACAUUGGGACUGACAGACGGCCCAUACUCCUACGGGAGGCAGCAGUGGGGAAUAUUGCACAAUGGGAGAAACCCUGAUGCAGCAACGCCGCGUGGGUGAUGAAGGUUGUCGGAUCGUAAAGCUCUGUCUUUGGGGAAGAUAAUGACGGUACCCAAGGAGGAAGCCACGGCUAACUACGUGCCAGCCGCCGCGGUAAGAC
rnacentral:rRNA from 1 species